AUGUUGCUCUUGGGCCUGGGGUCGCACCAGGACGUGCUGCAGAGACGUUGCCGGAGGAAGGGGUGCAGACGUGUGGCCGCCCCCCCGGCAGGCCGCUUGCACCCGGUCCGGAUGCCAGCAGGGAUGCGGCUCCUCCGCUCGCAUCGGGUGCAGGCUGUGCUGACUCCGGGGUGUCCCCACCGCUGCGGGCCCGCAUGUCCUGCAGGAUGGGGGUGGCAGCGAUGCCGAGGUUUAGCCCCUCUUUGCACCCGGCUCCGGGUUAUGAUCUGGAGCCGUAGCCGAGGAGGCGGCCGGUCGCCAGCAGAGCGAGCGCGGUGCCAGCCGCGGUGCGCAGUGCAGGCGGGCGCAAAGGAGCUGCUGGGCGCACGGGUGCUGCCGGCCAGUGCUGUGCCAGUGGGGGCGAUUUUUUUAUUUAUUUCUUUUUAUUUAUUUAUAUUUUUAAGCUUUCUGUUGCUGAUCGUUUGCAUGAGGUUGGUUUGUGCCCGGCAGCGUCUGCCCCUUGGAAAGGCAGCGCAUGCACCGGCUCCCGCCCGGGCGUGUGCAYGCAAAUGGGAGUGUGUUGGAGAGCAGAGUGGGUGCUGGGGUGCUGCGUGCACCCCUCUGCGCCGGGGCCGCUCCGGCGCCACGCGGGUCUGCAGCCACGUCAGACGCGUGCCCGCGUGGGGGCUUGUCGCGGAGGAGAYGGGCUCCCAGCGCUGCCUCUCGCCCCCCGCCGAGCUUUCGGCAGCCCCCUGCUUUCUCCGAAGCAACCUCUCGGCCUCCCGUUUCGACGAGCCGACGGAGCUGGCUCGCCAGGGCUUUGCCUCGGGGUGUUUCGGCAGCGUUUGUGCUGUGCAUCCGUAUCUCGAGCUCCGAUUUUGCAAGGCACCGCAGCAACCUGGAUGCGGAGCCUCUCGGGGUCCUGCUGCGCAACCGCCUGCUCCGUGCUCCUGCCUGCGGGGCUGGUGUCGGAGCAGGGAUGGGGUCCCCGAGGAGCGGGGUCUGCUUCCGGGCCGGUUGACGUGGCUGGCUGGGACGCAGCCCCGGAAGCCCUCCCGAAGGGGAGACCCCACGGCACGGUGA
rnacentral:lncRNA from 1 species